GUUGGGCACUGUGGCGCAUACCUGUAAUCCCAGCAGCUUGGGAGGCUGAGGCAGGAGGAUUGGGAGUUCAAAGCCAGCCUCAGUAAAACUGAGGUGCUAAGCAACUCAGUGAGACCCUGUCUCUA
rnacentral:sRNA from 1 species